UCGGGAAUCUUGCGCAAUGGGCGAAAGCCUGACGCAGCAACGCCGCGUGGGGGACGAAGGCCCUCGGGUCGUAAACCCCUUUCAGCAGGGACGAAGAUGACGGUACCUGCAGAAGAAGCCCCGGCCAACUACGUGCCAGCAGCCGCGGUAACACGUAGGGGGCGAGCGUUGUCCGGAUUUAUUGGGCGUAAAGAGCUCGUAGGCGGUUCGGUAAGUCAGAUGUGAAAACCCAGGGCUCAACCCUGGGAAGCCAUUUGAUACUGCCGUGACUAGAGUCCGGUAGGGGAGCGUGGAAUUCCUGGUGUAGCGGUGAAAUGCGCAGAUAUCAGGAGGAACACCAGCGGCGAAGGCGGCGCUCUGGGCCGGUACUGACGCUGAGGAGCGAAAGCGUGGGGAGCGAACAGGAUUAGAUACCCAUGUAGUCCCUGAGCGGGCUGGCAAGGCGCAU
rnacentral:rRNA from 1 species